UACGUAGGGCGCAAGCGUUAUCCGGAAUUAUUGGGCGUAAAGAGCUCGUAGGCGGUUUGUCGCGUCUGCCGUGAAAGUCCGGGGCUCAACUCCGGAUCUGCGGUGGGUACGGGCAGACUAGAGUGAUGUAGGGGAGACUGGAAUUCCUGGUGUAGCGGUGAAAUGCGCAGAUAUCAGGAGGAACACCGAUGCGAAGGCAGGUCUCUGGGCAUUAACUACGUGAGGAGCGAAAGCAUGGGGGAGCGAACAGG
rnacentral:rRNA from 1 species